CCGGUAAACGGCGGCCGUAACUAUAACGGUCCUAAGGUAGCGAAAUUCCUUGUCGGGUAAGUUCCGACCUGCACGAAUGGCGUAAUGAUGGCCAGGCUGUCUCCACCCGAGACUCAGUGAAAUUGAACUCGCUGUGAAGAUGCAGUGUACCCGCGGCAAGACGGAAAGACCCCGUGAACCUUUACUAUAGCUUGACACUGAACAUUGAGCCUUGAUGUGUAGGAUAGGUGGGAGGCUUUGAAGUGUGGACGCCAGUCUGCAUGGAGCCGACCUUGAAAUACCACCCUUUAAUGUUUGAUGUUCUAACGUUGACCCGUAAUCCGGGUUGCGGACAGUGUCUGGUGGGUAGUUUGACUGGGGCGGUCUCCUCCUAAAGAGUAACGGAGGAGCACGAAGGUUGGCUAAUCCUGGUCGGACAUCAGGAGGUUAGUGCAAUGGCAUAAGCCAGCUUGACUGCGAGCGUGACGGCGCGAGCAGGUGCGAAAGCAGGUCAUAGUGAUCCGGUGGUUCUGAAUGGAAGGGCCAUCGCUCAACGGAUAAAAGGUACUCCGGGGAUAACAGGCUGAUACCGCCCAAGAGUUCAUAUCGACGGCGGUGUUUGGCACCUCGAUGUCGGCUCAUCACAUCCUGGGGCUGAAGUAGGUCCCAAGGGUAUGGCUGUUCGCCAUUUAAAGUGGUACGCGAGCUGGGUUUAGAACGUCGUGAGACAGUUCGGUCCCUAUCUGCCGUGGGCGCUGGAGAACUGAGGGGGGCUGCUCCUAGUACGAGAGGACCGGAGUGGACGCAUCACUGGUGUUCGGGUUGUCAUGCCAAUGGCACUGCCCGGUAGCUAAAUGCGGAAGAGAUAAGUGCUGAAAGCAUCUAAGCACGAAACUUGCCCCGAGAUGAGUUCUCCCUGACUCCUUGAGAGUCCUGAAGGAACGUUGAAGACGACGACGUUGAUAGGCCGGGUGUGUAAGCGCAGCGAUGCGUUGAGCUAACCGGUACUAAUGAACCGUGAGGCUUAACCUUACAACGCCGAAGGUGUUU
rnacentral:rRNA from 1 species